UGCAGCUCCAGUGAUUUGAAAGUGUACACACAGGAUUCAUGCCAAACUAUUCAUUAACAGUCAACCAAUGAAGACAACAUCAGAGCUGCUCUCACUAAGUUCACAGCCUGAGCAUACAAGGAGAGAGGAGGGCUCAAAGGACCAUCAGUCUCUUCAGCACCUCUGAAACUGCUCCCUUCCUUGCCUUCCCAAGGCACAAGUCAGCCCAAAGUAGGCUGGGAAAGGUCCAUGCAACAUCUGGCUCUAGUGAAAGUUGAUGGUAAUCAUAUGGAACCCCAAUACACAGAUCAGAAGAUGAGCAUGCUGCAGGCCAACAGCUCUUGCUAAUUUACACUGUGAAUUUCCAAGGUCCCACAACAUCUAGCUCUUCCUCUGCAUGUUUUUCUUACAACAGCUCUGAGAAAGCACCGAUUUCAUACCGUCAGGAACUACUAAACUUGGAUUCUCAGUGGUUUGGUUUAGAAGUGUAAAUGGAUGCAGUUCAUUUGAGAUUCCCCCCCAGUGUAAGGCAGAAUUAUGUUUCCAAUGUCAUG
rnacentral:lncRNA from 1 species